GUCAGGAUGGCCUAGUGGUGUAAGGCUCUGCGUUCAGGUCACAGUCUCCCCUGGAGGCAUGGAUUCAUAUCUCACUUCUGACA
rnacentral:tRNA from 1 species